GAUGAACGCUGGCGGCGUGCCUAAUACAUGCCAGUCGAGCGAACGGACGAGAAGCUUGCUUCUCUGAUGUUAGCGGCGGACGGGUGAGUAACACGUGGAUAACCUACCUAUAAUACUGGGAUAACUUCGGGAAACCGGAGCUAAUACCGGAUAAUAUUUUGAACCGCAUGGUUCAAAAGUGAAAGACGGUCUUGCUGUCACUUAUAGAUGGAUCCGCGCUGCAUUAGCUAGUUGGUAAGGUAACGGCUUACCAAGGCAACGAUGCAUAGCCGACCUGAGAGGGUGAUCGCCCGCACUGGAACUGAGACACGGUCCAGACUCCUACGAGAGGCAGCAGUAGGGAAUCGGCCGCAAUGGGCGAAAGCCUGACGGAGCAACGCCGCGUGAGUGAUGAAGGUCUUCGGAUCGUAAAACUCUGUUAUUAGGGAAGAACAUAUGUGUAAGUAACUGUGCACAUCUUGACGGUACCUAAUCAGAAAGCCACGGCUAACUACGUG
rnacentral:rRNA from 1 species